rnacentral:rRNA from 1 species
UCGAGCGGCAAGGGCCUUCGGGCCCCUAGAGCGGCGGACGGGUGAGUAACACGUGGACAAUCUGCCCCCGGUCCGGGAUAGCCCAGGGAAACCUGGAUUAAUACCGGAUGAGACGGGACCCGCGGAGGCGGGAUCCGGGAAAGGCGCUGCGGCGCCGCCGGGGGAUGAGUCUGCGUCCCAUUAGCUAGACGGCGGGGUAACGGCCCACCGUGGCGACGAUGGGUAGCCGGCCUGAGAGGGUGGACGGCCACAUUGGAACUGAGACACGGUCCAGACUCCUACGGGAGGCAGCAGCUAAGAAUCUUCCGCAAUGGGCGAAAGCCUGACGGAGCGACGCCGCGUGAACGAAGAAGGCCGUGAGGUUGUAAAGUUCUUUUCGGGAGGGGGAACAACCGUGGCAGGGAAUGGCCGCGGGAUGACGUGAAUCCCGGAAUAAGCCCCGGCUAACUACGUGCCAGCAGCCGCGGUAACACGUAGGGGGCGAGCGUUGUUCGGAAUCAUUGGGCGUAAAGGGCGUACAGGCGGUCCUGCAAGUCCGGCGUGAAAGACCCCGGCCCAACCGGGGGGACGCGCUGGAAACUGCAGGGCUUGAGUACAGGAGGGGAUGCCGGAAUUCCAGGUGUAGGGGUGAAAUCUGUAGAUAUCUGGAAGAACACCAAUGGCGAAGGCAGGCAUCUGGCCAUGUACUGACGCUGAGACGCGAAGGUGCG